CCUACGGGGCAGCAGUGGGGAAUAUUGCACAAUGGGCGCAAGCCUGCUGCAGCCAUGCCGCGUGUGUGAAGAAGGCCUUCGGGUUGUAAAGCACUUUCAGCGGGGAGGAAGGCGUUAAGGUUAAUAACCUUGUCGAUUGACGUUACCCGCAGAAGAAGCACCGGCUAACUCCGUGCCAGCAGCCGCGGUAAUACGGAGGGUGCAAGCGUUAAUCGGAAUUACUGGGCGUAAAGCGCACGCAGGCGGUCUGUCAAGUCGGAUGUGAAAUCCCCGGGCUCAACCUGGGAACUGCAUUCGACACUGGCAGGCUAGAGUCUUGUAGAGGGGGGUAGAAUUCCAGAUGUAGCGGUGAAAUGCGUAGAGAUCUGGAGGAAUACCGGUGGCGAAGGCGGCCCCCUGGACAAAGACUGACGCUCAGGUGCGAAAGCGUGGGGAGCAAACAGGAUUAGAUACCCCAGUAGUC
rnacentral:rRNA from 1 species